rnacentral:rRNA from 1 species
UCGGGGUAACGACCUGGAAACAGAUGCUAAUAACGGAUAACAACAGAUGAUGCCUAUCAACUGUUUAAAAGAUGGUUCUGCUAUCACUCUUGGAUGGACCUGCGGUGCAUUAGCUAGUUGGUAGGGUAACGGCCUACCAAGGCGAUGAUGCAUAGCCGAGUUGAGAGACUGAUCGGCCACAUUGGGACUGAGACACGGCCCAAACUCCUACGGGAGGCAGCAGCG